UACGUAGGGUGCAAGCGUUAAUCGGAAUUACUGGGCGUAAAGCGUGCGCAGGCGGUUGUGGAAGACCGAUGUGAAAUCCCCGGGCUCAACCUGGGAAUUGCAUUGGUGACUGCACGGCUAGAGUGUGUCAGAGGGGGGUAGAAUUCCACGUGUAGCAGUGAAAUGCGUAGAGAUGUGGAGGAAUACCGAUGGCGAAGGCAGCCCCCUGGGAUAACACUGACGCUCAUGCACGAAAGCGUGGGGAGCAAACAGG
rnacentral:rRNA from 1 species